AGAAUCAGAGGUUCCUGCAACUUAUUCUUUUUUGUUUUUCAAAUGCCCCUUGGCAAUCAUUAUCCUACCUGACCGUUUGAUCUCUUUUUUUUUUGUUUUCGGUUCAGGCACUUCUUGCAUUGUUUUUUCUUUUCUUUCUUUUUUUCUUUCUUUUUUCCUUCUUUUUUCCUUUCUUUUUUCUUUCUUUUUUUUUUCUUUUUUUAUUUGCAGGAUCAACCUCGAUUCCUCUUUUAUUCACAAUACGCCUCAGCACUUUGCCGGACAGCACUCCAUAAGCG
rnacentral:lncRNA from 1 species